UUGGUAAUAAAUAAUCCAUUUUAGUAUAUCCAAUUUAAUCUGAUUUUAAGUCCAUUAACCCAUUCUUAUCCAAUAUUCACCAUCAAGUUACAACACCAUUAACUAAUGUACAUUGAGUAGAACCAUUGAAUAUAUCAGUACAAACAUAUCAGUAGAAAUGCAGAAAAAAUUCAGAAGCUUGUACAAGCUGCUAUACGACUGAAAUACAUGAUACAAGCCACGACGGCAGCAAAACGCAGGAACACAAAGCCGCAUCCACAUCAAAUAUCCAUAUAACCUGCACAUGCCCGAAAAUGUUUUGGAUUCAACAACCUGCAAAAUUGAUUCAAUCUAACUCAGUACCAUUACAAUAACACAACCACACUUCAACUAAUCAAACUCAUUUUCAACUCACACCCUCACCCCAAAAAACCUUAACAGAAUACACAUCAAGCCUAACAGAAAUUCAAAUCCUCUAACGAAUUUCCUAACUAACUCCUAACUGAAUCCUAACCAACUCACAAACCAAAACAGAAAAAGCUCGCUCAUAACAGAAGAAGGAGAAGGAAGGUUGGAAAUCUAUAAAUGCAUACCUUCACAAGUUCAGAACUCUCUGGAUUUUUUUCUCCUCUCGAUUACCAUCAAUCUUCUUCACUCCUUGUUCACCACCUUCAAUCAAACUCUGAUUCGAUUCUUUUCUUUCAACCAAGCGCUGAUUCCAUAUUCUCGUCACCUUCAAUCCAAUCUCAUCCUCUUCAUCUCUAACGACCACCUGCAGGAAUGGAUUCAACAAAAAGGAGUUUCACAAAUGGAAGCUUAUACGAGAAACAGAACUGAUAAACCAUCUCCUUUUUUGGUAAAUCGAAUCUCCACCAGAAACUCCUUCAAUGACCUGCUAACGACGAAAUCCAAUCGCCCUCGCUCUUCCUUCGAGCCGCCUAAAAUCGUCUAUUGCCAACCUCGCUCCGCCGGACACAAGACCGGAAUCCACUCCCCGAAUUCAAACUGGAGAAAUAAACAGGAAGGAGAAAAAUAUCGAAGUUGGAAGGAAAGAAGAUCAGAAUCUGUCUGCAUCAAGACUUUGGAUCGGUGAGUUCUCUGCUUCGUAUCGACUUCGUUAUUUUCAAUUCCGUGCGCACCAAGACGAAGGGUGUAAGAAGGUUGGAAGUUGUAUUGAAUCUCUGAGAUUGACCUUGGAGCUAUUCUUUUUCGUCACUUUCAUUCCAAUUUUGUUCUUGGAGAAGGACGCGUGAAGCCGUUAGAAUGCUAGAUGACUCGCGCCGCGAUGUGUUAUGAUUCACGCUGAAGCUCUCGGCGAUUACGGAGAAGAUGACGUCGUGUUCGUGUGUGAGACACUGUCGAGCACGUUAGCUUCUCCAAGAGGAACGAAUCUUCUUGUUGGUGAUCGAACCAGGUAAAGGCAAGAAUUGGGCCUUCUGCCCGAACCAAUUUCGCAAGCCCAGACGAAUAGACUCUACGUUCUUUCCA
rnacentral:lncRNA from 1 species